AAAAAAAAGAUGUUUAAUGGCCCCGUGGCUGAGUGGUUAAGUUCUCACGCUCCCCUUCGGCGGCCCAGGGUUUCGCUGGUUCGGAUCCUGGGAGUGGACAUGGUACCGCUCAUCAGGCCAUGCUGAGGCAGCAUCCCACAUGCCACAACUAGAAGGACCUACAACUAAAAAAAAAUAUACAAUGCAGGGCCUGCCUGGUGGCGCAGCAGGUUGUGUCCGGUUGUGUCAUACCACCACUGUGCUGGAGGUCCUGGCUCAGAAACACUUGGAUGAAUCCCUCAGGUUGCGUCUCUUCUGAGUGCCCUUUCUUGAAGUGGACUUAGGCUGGUUGAAGCAUAGCCUUUCUUCCUGGGAGCAGGUGGCCUCUGUUUUACGGACACACUUCUUGAACGUUCUGCUUCAGGAGUGGGACUGGUGGCAUGUGGUCCAGCAGCAGUUCCUGUUAGACAUGGAGGUGAAGGCCUUUGUGUUUCUUAGGGCUGCUCCUGACCAGGCUGUAUUCUCCGCUGGGCUCUGAAGCCAGGUUUGCCCUUGAAGCUCUGUUGCUUCAUAGUGGUGGAGGCAUGGGCGUGCCAGUGAGAAGGGACUCGAAAGUCUUUACCUUCUGAG
rnacentral:lncRNA from 1 species